GGGGCUAUAGCUCAGUUGGUAGAGCACCUGCAUGGCAUGCAGGGGGUCAGGAGUUCAAGUCUCCUUAGCUCCA
rnacentral:tRNA from 1 species